rnacentral:rRNA from 1 species
GUAAACGGUGGGCACUAGUUGUGGGAACCUUCCACGGUUUCUGCGACGCAGCUAACGCAUUAAGUGCCCCGCCUGGGGAGUACGAUCGCAAGAUUAAAACUCAAAGGAAUUGACGGGGCCCCGCACAAGCAGCGGAGCAUGCGGCUUAAUUCGACGCAACGCGAAGAACCUUACCAAGGCUUGACAUAUAGGGAAAAGUGGCAGAGAUGUCAUGUCCGCAAGGGCUCUAUACAGGUGGUGCAUGGUUGUCGUCAGCUCGUGUCGUGAGAUGUUGGGUUAAGUCCCGCAACGAGCGCAACCCUCGUUCUGUGUUGCCAGCAUUUAGUUGGGGACUCACAGGAGACUGCCGGGGUUAACUCGGAGGAAGGUGGGGAUGACGUCAAAUCAUCAUGCCCCUUAUGUCUUGGGCUGCACGCAUGCUACAAUGGCCGGUACAGAGGGCUGCAAUACCGCAAGGUGGAGCGAAUCCCAAAAAGCCGGUCUCAGUUCGGAUUGAGGUCUGCAACUCGACCUCAUGAAGUUGGAGUUGCUAGUAAUCGUAGAUCAGCAUCGCUACGGUGAAUACGUUCCCGGGGCUUGUACACACCGCCCGUCACGUCACGAAAGUCGGUAACACCCAAAGUCAGUGGCCCAACC